rnacentral:rRNA from 1 species
CCUACGGGCGGCAGCAGUGAGGAAUAUUGGUCAAUGGACGAGAGUCUGAACCAGCCAAGUAGCGUGAAGGAUGACUGCCCUAUGGGUUGUAAACUUCUUUUAUAAAGGAAUAAAACGAGGCACGUGUGCCUUUUUGCAUGUACUUUAUGAAUAAGGAUCGGCUAACUCCGUGCCAGCAGCCGCGGUAAUACGGAGGAUCCGAGCGUUAUCCGGAUUUAUUGGGUUUAAAGGGAGCGUAGAUGGGUUGUUAAGUCAGUUGUGAAAGUUUGCGGCUCAACCGUAAAAUUGCAAUUGAUACUGGCAGUCGUGAGUACAGUUGAGGUAGGCGGAAUUCGUGGUGUAGCGGUGAAAUGCUUAGAUAUCACGAAGAACCCCGAUUGCGAAGGCAGCUUACUAAACUGUGACUGACAUUGAUGCUCGAAAGUGUGGGUAUCAAACAGGAGUAGAUACCCUAGUAGUC